GUUGUUGUGGCUGAGUGGUUAAGGCGAUGGACUUGAAAUCCAGUGGGGUCUCCCCGCGUAGGUUCAAAUCCUGCCAACAACG
rfam:Tetraodon nigroviridis, WGS project CAAE01000000 data, contig: CNS0BRD3, chromosome: undetermined